CGCGUUCACCGCCGGAGGUAGAGCACCGGAUGGACGAGGGGGCUUCGCCGCCUACCGAAUCCAACCGAACUCCGAAUGCCGGCGGCCCAGAGCGCGGCAGUCAGAGCAUGUGGGCUAAGCUGUGUGCUCGAGAGGGAAACAGCCCGGACCGCCCGCUAAGGUCCCCAAGUUCCAGCCGAGUGGCAAAGGAUGUGCGUCCGCCCAGACAACCAGGAUGUUGGCUUAGAAGCAGCCAUCCAUUCAAAGAGUGCGUAACAGCUCACUGGUCGAGUGGACAUGCGCCGACAAUACACGGGGCUAAGCUGGACACCGAAGCGGCGGGAUUUUGAUUUUCAGAAUCGGUAGGGGAGCUUCCCAUGGGCGGAGAAGCCGGAGGGCGACCGACGGUGGAGCGCAUGGGAGUGAGAAUGCUGGCAUGAGUAGCGAGAGACGAGAGAGUAACUCGUCCGCCGUGAACCCGAGGUUUCCUGGGCAAGGCUAAUCCUCCCAGGGUCAGUCGGGGGCUAAGGCGAGGCCGGUAGGCGUAGCCGACGCGCAGCAGGCAGACAUUCCUGCACCGCGCACGCGGCGCUACGACCGACGGGGCGACGGAUGGGGGUGGCUCGGCGGGGUUCUGGACGUCCCCGUGAUGGAGCGCGGCCCGCGGACCAGGGAAAUCCGGUCCGCAGAAGGGCGAGGCUCCGGACGAAGCGACUGAGCGAAGCGAGUGAGCCCGAGGUCCCUAGAAAAACCCCUAGGCAGGCGCGUGCGCGCCCGUACCGCAAACCGACACAGGUGGGUGGGUAGAACAUACCGAGGCGAUCGGGUCAACCAUGGUCAAGGAACUCGGCACAAUGGCCCCGUAACUUCGGGAGAAGGGGUGCCCGCGCGUACGUGAACGGACUUGCUCCGGGAGCGGAGGCGGGCCGCAGUGGAGAGGCCCAAGCGACUGUUUACCAAAAACACAGGACUCUGCAGAAGCCGCAAGGCGACGUAUAGGGUCUGACGCCUGCCCGGUGCCGGAAGGUCACGCGGAGGGGUUAGCCGCAAGGCGAGGCCCCGAAGCCAAGCCCCGGUAAACGGCGGCCGUAACUAUAACGGUCCUAAGGUAGCGAAAUUCCUUGUCGGGUAAGUUCCGACCUGCACGAAAGGCGCAACGACUUGGGCGCUGUCUCGACCAUGGACCCGGUGAAAUUGCACUGGUCGUGAAGAUGCGACUUACCCGCGGAAGGACGGAAAGACCCCGUGAACCUUCACUGCAGCUUGGCAUUGGCCGCUGGUCCCGCGUGUAGAGGAUAGGCAGGAGGCAUCGAUCCGGAGGCGCCAGCCCCCGGGGAGCCGCCCUUGGAAUACUGCCCUCGCGCGACCGGCGUCCUAACCCGAGGCCGUCAUCCGGCUCGGGGACCGUGCCAGGCGGGCAGUUUGACUGGGGCGGUCGCCUCCUAAAGGGUAACGGAGGCGCGCGAAGGUCCGCUCGGGACGGUCGGCAACCGUCCUUUUGAAUGCAAGAGUACAAGCGGGCUUGACUGCGAGGCCCACAAGCCGAGCAGGUGCGAAAGCAGGCUCUAGUGAUCCGGCGGCCCCGAGUGGGUGGGCCGUCGCUCAACGGAUAAAAGGUACUCCGGGGAUAACAGGCUGAUCUUGCCCAAGAGUCCACAUCGACGGCAAGGUUUGGCACCUCGAUGUCGGCUCAUCGCAUCCUGGGGCUGGAGCAGGUCCCAAGGGUACGGCUGUUCGCCGUUUAAAGCGGUACGCGAGCUGGGUUCAGAACGUCGUGAGACAGUUCGGUCCCUAUCCUCCGUGGGCGCAGGAGAAUCGAUGGAGGCUGCCCCCAGUACGAGAGGACCGGGGUGGACGCACCUCCGGUGAACCGGUUGUCGACCAACGGCACGGCCGGGUAGCCGCGUGCGGCGCGGAUAACCGCUGAAGGCAUCUAAGCGGGAAGCCGUUCCAGGGAUUAGUUCUCCUUCCGGUAAGGGCCCAGGUAGACUACCUGGUCGAUAGACGGCAGGUGCAAGGACGGCGACGUCCUCAGCCGAGCCGCACUAAUCGCCCGAGCUCUUCCGGAA
rnacentral:rRNA from 1 species